GGCCUCGUGGCGCAACGGUAGUCGCGUUCGACUCCAGAUCGAAAGGUUAUCCGUUCAAAUCGGGUCGGGGUCA